AACGAACGCUGGCGGCGUGGAUUAGGCAUGCAAGUCGAACGCGAAAGGGGAGCAAUCCCUGAGUAGAGUGGCGAACUGGUGAGUAACACGUGGAUAUCUACCUCUUGGUGGGGAAUAACCUGGGGAACCUGGGCUAAUACCGCAUAAGUUCGUGAGAAGAAAGCCGAAAGGCGCCGAGAGAGGAGUCCGCGGUCGAUUAGGUAGUUGGCGGGUAAGAGCCACCAA
rnacentral:rRNA from 1 species